rnacentral:lncRNA from 1 species
GCUUUGGUCAGGAUGUAGCCCGGCAGCACUGACAAUAAAUCAGCUUGCCUGAACUUGGGUCUAUUGGCCUCAUUCCUUUCUCAGCUGUCCUUCCCAUUAUCCCUUACAGUGCGGUGGCUCACGCCUGUAAUCCCAGCACUUUGGGAGGCCGAGAUGGGCGGAUCACGAGGUCAGGAGAUCGAGAACAUCCUGGCUAACACGGUGAAACCCCGUCUCUACUAAAAAUACAAAAUAAUUAGCCGGGCGUGGUGGCAGGCGCCUGUAGUCCCAGCUACUCAGGAGGCUGAGGCAGGAGAAUGGGGUGAACCUGGGAGGCGGAGCUUGCAGUGAGCCGAGAUUGCGCCACUGCACUCCAGCCUGGGCGACAGAGCGAGACUCCGUCUCAAAAAAAAAAAAAAAAAAAAAAAAAAAAAAGGAUGUUUUAAAUUCCUGAGAAGAGCUAGUCUAUUGUCUGUAUUCCUGACUUUUACAUUGUUCUUUCAUCUUUCCCAAUGUUUCAAGUUUCCUUCUUUGAUCACUGUCAUUCAGUUUGAGUCACUUCUUUUCUACUUCCUUUAGGUUUGCAACAAAUCCUUUAAAUUUACCUUCAUCAGAGAAUGUCUUUAUUUCCCUUGUAUUCCUGAAGAAGAGUGUUGUAAGAGAUAGAAUUCACUGUUGACAGUCCUUCUUUCAGCACUUAAGAAAUGUUGUGUCACUUAUUGUGGCCUCUGCGGUUUCAGAUGAGAAAUAUGCUAUUAUUUGAGUUUGUAUUUCCCUGUGGUAAAUGUGUCGUUAUGGUCUGGCUACUUUCAAGAUUUGAUCCUUCGCUUUCAGAAGUUUAAUUACAGUGUGUCAAGACAUGGAUUCCUUUGGGCUUUCCUAUUUUGAUUGUUCAACUUCUUAAAGAAGUAGGUCUAUGUAUUUUAGCAAAUUUGGGGAGGUUUCAGCUUUUUCUUUUUUUUUUUCAAAUACCCUUUCAAUACCACUCAUCUUCUGCUCUCCUUUUGGGAAUCCAAGGAUACGAAUUUUUGAUCUUUUGUUAUUGUCCUACAGCUCCUUGAAGAUCUGUUCAUUUUUUUUUCAGGAUAUUUUCUCUCUGUUUUUCAGAUUAGGUAAAUUCUAUUCAUCUAUUUUGAAGUUCUUUGAUUCUAUCCUCUGUCAUCUCCAUUCUAUUAUUGAGCUCAUCCAGUGAGUUUUUAUUUCUGUUAUUAUAUUUUUCAGUUCUAUAAUUCCCAUUGGUACUUUUUAAAUAACUUCAGUUUCUUUGGUGAUAUUUUCUAUUUUUGUUUCAAGAAUUCAUAAUUGUUCAUUAAAGCAUUUUUAUAAUAACUGCCUUAAAGUCUUUAUCAGAUAAUUCCAGUAUCUGAUUCACCUCUGUGUCAGUGAUUAUCUUGUUUUCAUUAAAGUUGUGAUUUUCCUGAUUCUUGAUAUAACUAUUACUUUUCAGUUGUAUCCAGAAUAAUUCCUUUUAACCAAAUGAGUGUGAGCAAAUCUGCAAUGAGUAAUCUGCCAAGGUUAUUAUUUAUUCUGUUUUCAACCUGGACAUUUUGUAUUUUGACUAUUUGGAGACUCUAAGUCUUAUUUAAAUAUUUUAUUUUAGUAGUCAGCCACCCUGCUUAGGUUUGGUACGUGGGUCCUGGCCUGACUUUUGUACACGAUGAUUCUGAUGACAGUUUAAUUUUCUGGGCCUUUGUGAUGCUAGAUUCAUCUGUUUGGUUUAUCUAGUACCAUGGGGGCUCCCAGUGUGAUAACCAAAAAUGUCUCUAGACAUUACUAAAAGUUUCCUGGGGGAGAAAAUCACCUCCAGUUGAGGAUCAUUGCUCUCAAAACCAGAAAAAUUCAGUGUCCCCAGUGUGAGACACGGCACGAUCCUAUGAGGCGAAGCAGAUGGAAACUCUUCUAAAGCCUUAUAGAAGCACUUUAUGGCCUUCUCCAGUGUUUUUCUGAAGCAACUCCUUUCCCUGGGAAGAGGAAAAGGCUUUAUUUGCUUCUUUCUAUAUCUGCCCACACUUGCCCUCAUGGAAGAUGUCAAUGAUGGCUCCUAUGAUAGACCAGGAUUUGAUUUCCUGUACAACACAGCUCAAAGAUUAAUUUAGCCCUUCACGGACAAGUCGUCUUUAUUAAGGCAUUCAAUUUCAAAGUGAAAUCCUUUCAGAAUUACACAUGAAUGUGUACAUACUUACAUUCUGCUUUAAAACAUGCUGUCAGGCCGGGCACGGUGGCUGACGCCUGUAAUCCCAGCACUUUGGGAGGCUGAGGCAGGCGGAUCACAACGUCAGGAGUUCGAGACCAGGCUGGCCAACACGGUGAAACCCCGUCUCUACUAAAAAUAGAAAAAUUAGCUGGGCAUGGUGGCAGGUGCCUGUAGUCCCAGCUACUCAGGAGGCUGAGGCAUAAGAAUCGCUUGAACUUGGGAAGCAGAGGUGGCAGUGAGCCAAGAUUGCACCACUGCACUCCAGCCUGGGCGACAGAGUGAGACUCUGUCUAAAAAACAACAAACAAACAAAAACACAAAACACGCUGUCAAAGAUCAUUAUCUUUUUUGGUUGUUAGUUGAUUUUUUUUUUUCUACAUUGCUGAAAUGACAUCACAUGACCUUUCAAAAGUUUUUGCUUUUCUGCCUGGAAGCACAGGGCAGUGUUUCAUAAAAGCAAGAAAAAUGU